AUCCCCAUCUGCCUCCUCUGCGUGAUGGCGUCUUCCCAAAGCAGCCUCUUUUCCAUGGCAGGCGACUCCUACAGCAAGUACGAGAUUCGGCGGCGCAACCCCAACCCCACCGCCGCCGCCCUCCUCGUCAUCGACAUGCAGCGCCACUUCGCCUCCAUCGCUGCCCCCAUACUCCCCGCCCUCCGCUCCACCGUCGCCCUCUGCCGCGCCGCCGGCAUCCCCGUCCUCUUCACCCGCCACCGCCACCGCUCCCCCGCCGACUACGCCAUGCUUGGCGAGUGGUGGUCCGGCGACCUCAUCCUCGACGGCACCCCCGCGGCCGAGCUCCUCCCCGACAUCGGCCGAGACCCCGGCGACCGUGUGGUCGAGAAGAGCACCUACAGCGCCUUCGCCGGCACGGGUCUGGAGGAGGCGCUGAGGGGCAUGGGAGUCGAGGAGGUGAUCGUCACCGGCGUGAUGACGAACCUCUGCUGCGAGACGUCGGCGAGGGAGGCGUUUGUGAGGGGGUUCAGGGUCUUCUUCUCCACCGACGCCACGGCUACCUCGAACAAGGAUCUGCACGAAGCUACCCUCAAGAAUAUGGCGUAUGGCUUUGCUUAUCUGGUGGACUGCAAACGCCUCGAGGCAGCUCUUGCGCCCAAGAUUUGAGGGGUUCCUUACUUGUAUCCUUACCUGAAAACCCAUACUCUGAGGCCGCCAUUGAUAAGCUUGCGGAUGACUGGGAGCAUAGUGGCUGGCGAAUCAUUCCAUUUGGUGACUACCUCACUGUCCAAAGAAGCCUCCUGGAAGCAAGUAUUGGAUUUUCUAGUUAAAAGUGUAUUCUCCAUGUCUCUACCAGCAAAAUGCUGAAGAUCUCAAGGAAUCAUCAUAAUUCACCAAAUAUAUGUACCUGCAGUGGGUCCAGUUGUAGCCAAUCUUUGUGGUGUUGGCAUGCAGAGCUUCUUGGACAUCCAGUCGGUUGAAAUACACCUCGGAAUAGUCCGAGACACAAGGGUCGUACCCCGCUGGCUUUUGAUGCCACCCACUCUGAUGGUCGUCACCAUUGUUGGUAGGAAAGCAACUUACAUAUCUGGAGAACAGCUUGGGAGCUGCACCCUCGAUCUGAAAGGACUUCCGGGUAGAGGUGAUGCUGGUACAGACAGGAGCAUACAAGCUGUACAUGUCGAUUAUACGAUAGACUGCAAAGUACUCUCUCAGUGCAUUGUUACAGGCCUCAGUAGCAGGUUCAAUGCUGAAAUUGCAGUUGCUCUUGACGUCGUGGUAGACACGGUCGGAGAUGACGGCAUGGUCCCAUGCGUAGUCGAUCAUCCCCGUCUGAUCAGUGUCGUCGUCCAUCAAUGCAUUUCCUAUCUGAUUCAUGCGUAAGAUUAUGUUGCAACUCUUUUACCUGCAUAACUUUCUCCAGCAAUGUAGAAGUCAUGGGACUUGUACUGUGGGAACCUCUUGAGCCAGUUUACAAGGAAAACGUAGGAGUCCUCAGCUUUGGAUGAUCAGUAGAACAAUAUCAGUAGAUGUGAACAAAUCCCCCAAGGAUUUCUAUGGAACAUGUAUAUGGUCAAGUGAAAGUACUCUCUGUAGGACUUACCAGUGAUCUUGUCUCCCAGUGACUGCAAAUCAGAGCUGGUAUUAGUGUAAGAAAAUCCCACUCCAACAGGUGACUCAAGAAAUAGCAGAUUUGCCUCUGAAAUGUGACAAGAAUCAGCAUACUUUUAAUUGUCCAUCACAAAUUGCUUUGUACUCAAAGAGUUGUGAUCUUUCUGUUUUCUGUGACUCUGAAAUUUAGCUGUUGAUGUGUUAUGCAUUUGAUCA